rnacentral:rRNA from 1 species
CCUACGGGUGGCAGCAGUGGGGAAUAUUGCACAAUGGGGGAAACCCUGAUGCAGCGACGCCGCGUGAGUGAAGAAGUAUUUCGGUAUGUAAAGCUCUAUCAGCAGGGAAGAAAAUGACGGUACUUGAAGAAAAAGCAUCGGCUAACUCCGUGCCAGCAGCCGCGGUAAUACGGAGGAUGCGAGCGUUAUCCGGAUUUAUUGGGUUUAAAGGGUGCGUAGGCGGACUGUUAAGUCAGCGGUAAAAGCCCGGGGCUCAACCCCGGCGAGCCGUUGAAACUGGCUGUCUUGAGAUGUCGAGAGGUAUGCGGAAUGCGCAGUGUAGCGGUGAAAUGCUUAGAUAUUGCGCAGAACUCCGAUUGCGAAGGCAGCAUACCGGCGGCGAUCUGACGCUGAGGCACGAAAGCGUGGGUAUCGAACAGGAUUAGAUACCCCAGUAGUC